rnacentral:lncRNA from 1 species
UGGGAUUCUGCAGGCUUGCAUUGGAGUGAGCAGCUGCAGCGUGCCAGUGUCGUCGAAUUACUUUGGAAAUCCAUGCACAGGGGUCACAAAAAGCCUUGCGGUUGAAGCUGCAUGUUCGUGACAAGUCUGAUUAACAUUGGUUCAUAGGAAGCAAAAUCAGUGGGGAGAAGGUGAAACCUUCUCUGUGUAGGCAAGCAGGCAAAAAGGAAUAAGUGUUCCCAUCCUGGUCAAAAGGAAUAAAAAUAUUCCCAAUAUUGCUAUAUCCAAGCUAUUAGAUGGUAUGAUUAGAAAGCAUUGUUCUUGUUAAGAUGUAAAUUCAUCCAUCAUGACAAAGAAGGUGAUCCUUUUGUAAUCCUUCUUGAAAAAAUAGAAUGGAUUGAAUUUCAAUCAAUUUUAAUUAUACAUACUUGCAAAAAAGGAAGUUUGAAUUACACUUCUCAAUGAAUGGAUAGUUUUGUCAUACCAAGAGACACCUGGAAUCCUGAAGACCAAGCAACAUUGGAGUCAGCACUCGCAUGUAGUUGGUUCUGUACUCCAGAGAAUAAAAAAAAUACCUUACUAAGACCUCUAGGUUCCCAUGAUCUUUGUAGCAUAAUGGUUCAGCACUUCAGCUUGCAGUACCUUCCUUCAGCCUCUAAGUGGCUUAACCUCUAGGGACAGCCCACUUGGAAUGGGAAGACUUUCAGAGAUUGAUGAAGCCCGUUUAGCAGUGCAUGUCACAACGAUGAUCAUCCAUUUCUAUCUUGCUGCUAACCUCAAUGAUAGAAGAACACAAAUUGACAAGGAAGUUUCAAUGGGAUUUCGAAAUAUCCCAAAAGGAACCAACAAGAGAUCAAGGACAUCAUAAUACAUUCAACUUGUUUAAACCAAAGGAGUCCAGGACAACAUUUUUAACCAAACAUGGAAAACUGCAGUCAAUAUUAACUGGAAAUGGAUCAAAAGUGGUAUAUCAAUAUAAAAACAGGGCAAAUAUUGCCUUACAGCUCAUUAAAAAGAAAGCAAACAGCAACAAGCAAUAAUAGGACAUGUCCACUGAUGAUCUAGAGCCUUUAUGUGCAAUGGAGAGCUGUAAAAAUCACCAUCCCUGAACAAUAAAAAUUAGCAAGGUACAUCUUGUUGUAACACAGCUGCACCCAAAAUUUCCCUUUCCUUAUCUCUCACCAAUUGUCUCAUAAGAAACACAUUACCAAGAAAGAGAUAGAGAAGCCAGUCAACUUAUAAUGGACUGCCAACAGACUAUCAAGUUGCAUAAUCAUAGUAAACAAAAAAUAAUCUUUCGUUUCCCAUGCACAGAUUAUGGGCUCAAUAAAUGUAAAAUUGCAGGUCAAAUGACACAUGCACUAACCAUAACGAACAGGUUGCA